UCCCUGGAGACCUAGUGGUUAGGCCUUGGCGUUCUCACCGCCAUGGCCUGGGUUCGUUUCCCAGCCAGGGAA